rnacentral:rRNA from 1 species
GCAAGUCGGACGGUAACAUGAGAGCUUGCUCUUGAUGACGAGUGGCGCACGGGUGCGUAACGCGUAUGCAACCUACCCUUUACUGGGGGAUAGCCCGGAGAAAUUCGGAUUAAUACCCCAUGGUACUAUAAAACAGCAUUGUUUAAUAGUUAAAGAUUUAUUGGUAAAGGAUGGGCAUGCGUGACAUUAGUUAGUUGGUGAGGUAAUGGCUCACCAAGGCAACGAUAUCUAGGGGUUCUGAGAGGAAGAUC